rnacentral:rRNA from 1 species
UAAGGAGCCAGCGGCCGAAGGUGGGAUUAGUGAUUGGGGUGAAGUCGUAACAAGGUAGCCGUAGGAGAACCUGCGGCUGGAUCACCUCCUUUCUAAGGAGA